rnacentral:misc_RNA from 1 species
AAUGGCUGACCAGCGGAACCCUAGCGGGGGCCAAAAUGCUUAUUCUAUUAACACCGAUAAGUUCAAAGUGCGGCUUAAGACACUGUACUCGCAUUGGAAUGAACAUAAGGAUGAAAUGUGGGGGUCUGCUGAUGCGAUAACAAUAGCUACGCCGCCACCUUCGGAUGAUUUGCGGUACCUGAAAUCGUCCGCCAUGAAUGUUUGGUUGCUGGGUUAUGAGUUUCCUGAGACUAUAAUGGUUUUUAUGAAGAAGCAGAUUCAUUUUUUGUGUAGCCAAAAGAAGGCUUCUUUGCUUGAAGUUGUGAGAACCCCUGCUCAUGAUGUUGCUGGGGGUAUAGACGUUGCUAUUCAUGUCAAGGCAAAGGGUGAUGAU